rnacentral:tRNA from 1 species
GCAGUCAUGUCCGAAGUGGUUAACGAGUUUGAGUCGAAAUCACAUGGGCUCUGGCGCGCAGGUUCGAAUCCUGCUCGCUGCG